GCGCUCCGCCCCCGCCCCGACCCUGGGGGGCUCCACAUGAGGUCAGCAUCUGGGUCGCUUUGCCAGGGUCAGAAGACUGUUCUUCCAGGAAGGGCUGCAGAGACCCUGGGAACGGGACCAGCCCAGCUCACAAGUAUGAAGAGAAUGUCGGAGAGGAAGUGGUGGCUGUGAGUCAGCAUGAGUCAUCUCGUUCCAAUGAGAAGAAGACUGAGGUGUGCGCGCUUUUUUUUUCUGCCUUUUUUUUUUUACUCUUUUUUUUUUAUUCUUUCUUUUUCCUUCUUUUUUUCUUUUUUCUUUUUUUUUUUUUUUACUUUCUUUUUUUUUUGGUCUCAGUCAUGUGGACAUCAUUGGGAAUGGAGGGAAAGAGUGACUGCAUGGCUGGUGCUUGCUGAGCCGCGGGCUGGUAUUCCAGAAGGGCUGUGCCUGAGUCGGUGUCUGCUUCAGACCUUCGGGGCCCCGGCGGCGGGAAGGUGGAGUCAGCCGCUUGUCCCUGAUGUGCAAAGUAAGGAGCAAAAGGGGAAAAGACUUGGUUGUGGUGUGUGGCUGCCGGGAGCUUCCUCAUCCUUUAUGAGCUGGAUCUGUAAAGGAGACUGUCAGGCAGGUAAAAGGAAUGUUUAUUUAUUUAGCAUUUAUGGGCCUAAUGCCUCCAUAAAUAAACCUGUACAGAGUUGGGAAGUAGGCCCACAAGAAAUACAGGAGUGCAGAGAGCAUGUAUUAAGGCUCAGGGAUCAGUACAUGUCAUCAGGCUCAGCAUCCUCCCAUCUCCAAGGGUACUAA
rnacentral:lncRNA from 1 species